rnacentral:rRNA from 1 species
AAUUCAGUGAAUCAUCGAAUCUUUGAACGCACAUUGCGCCCAUUAGUACUCUAGUGGGCAUGCCUGUUCGAGCGUCAUUACGACCCUUAAGCCUAGCUUAGUAUUGGGAACCUACGUGCGGCAGCUACCCUGUAGCUACCCUGUAGCUCCUUAAAGACAACGGCGGAGACGUGGAGUCCUCUGAGCUUAGUAACUUUUCUAGCUUCUGAAGGCGCCGCGGCCCCUGCCGUAAAACCCCCCAACUCUUUAGUGGUUGACCUCGGAUCAGGUAGGAUUACCCGCUGAACUUAAGCAUAUCAAUAAGCGGAGGAAAAGAAACCAACAGGGAUUGCCUUAGUAACGGCGAGUGAAGCGGCAACAGCUCAAAUUUGAAAGCUGGCCUUCGGGUCCGCGUUGUAAUUUGUAGAGGAUGCUUUUGGUUAGGUGCCUUACGAGUUCCCUGGAACGGGACGCCUUAGAGGGUGAGAGCCCCGUACGUUUGGUUACCGAGCCUCUGUAAAGCUCCUUCGACGAGUCGAGUAGUUUGGGAAUGCUGCUCUAAAUGGGAGGUAAAUUUCUUCUAAAGCUAAAUACCGGCCAGAGACCGAUAGCGCACAAGUAGAGUGAUCGAAAGAUGAAAAGCACUUUGAAAAGAGGGUUAAAUAG